CAGGUGUGGCUGACUCUGGGACUCUCAAACUGGUUUUGGACCAUGCAGUGAUGACAACAAGACAAGGUCACCUGCUGAAAGCGGAUGUCCAUGUCGAAGCUCUAGUUUACCGCAAUAAUGGGCUUUGUCAAGAAUGCUGGAAAGAAGAAGAAAACAGAAGAGCAAUGCCGCUGUUC